UACGUAGGGGGCAAGCGUUGUCCGGAGUUACUGGGCGUAAAGCGCACGCAGGCGGUCUGCUAAGUUUGGAGUGACAGUUGGUGGCUUAACUGCCAAAGUGCUUCGAAAACUGACAGACUUGAGGGCUUCAGAGGGACACGGAAUUCCGGGUGGAGUGGUGAAAUGCGUAGAGAUCCGGAGGAACACCAAAGGCGAAGGCAGUGUCCUGGGGAGUACCUGACGCUCAGGUGCGAAAGCCAGGGGAGCGAACGGG
rnacentral:rRNA from 1 species